rnacentral:rRNA from 1 species
UAAUACGGAGGGAGCUAGCGUUGUUCGGAAUUACUGGGCGUAAAGCGCACGUAGGCGGCUCUUUAAGUCAGGGGUGAAAUCCCGGGGCUCAACCCCGGAACUGCCCUUGAAACUGCAGAGCUAGAAUACUGGAGAGGUGAGUGGAAUUCCGAGUGUAGAGGUGAAAUUCGUAGAUAUUCGGAAGAACACCAGUGGCGAAGGCGACUCACUGGACAGUUAUUGACGCUGAGGUGCGAAAGCGUGGGGAGCAAACAGG